rnacentral:tRNA from 1 species
GGUCUAAUGGUCUAGUUGGUUAGGACGUCGGAUUCUGAUACAAUAUCGAGAGUUCCGUAAGCCCAGGUUCGAAUCCUGGUUAGACCU